rnacentral:tRNA from 1 species
GGCCCCAUCGUCUAAUGGUUUAGGACAUCGCUCUUUCAAGGCGAAAAUACGAGUUCGAUUCUCGUUGGGGCCA